UAACAAGGAUUCCCCUAGUAACGGCGAGUGAAGCGGGAAGAGCUCAAAUUUGAAAUCUGGCAGUCUUCGAUUGUCCGAGUUGUAAUCUAUAGAGGCGUUUUCCGUGCCGGACCGUGUCCAAGUCUCCUGGAAAGGAGUAUCAAAGAGGGUGAUAAUCCCGUACUUAACACGACCACCGGUGCUCUGUGAUACGUCUUCUACGAGUCGAGUUGUUUGGGAAUGCAGCUCAAAAUGGGUGGUGAAUUCCAUCUAAAGCUAAAUAUUGGCGAGAGACCGAUAGCGAACAAGUACCGUGAGGGAAAGAUGAAAAGCACUUUGGAAAGAGAGUUAAACAGUACGUGAAAUUGUUGAAAGGGAAACGAUUGAAGUCAGUCGUGUUCUUUGGAUUCAGCCAGUUCUGCUGGUCUACUUCCUUGGAACGGGUCAACAUCAGUUUUGUCCGGUGGAUAAAGGUAGUAGGAAUGUGACUUCUCCGGAAGUGUUAUAGCCUAUUAUCACAUACACUGGGUGAGACUGAGGACUGCAGCUCGCCUUUAUGGCCGGCCUUCGGGCACGUUCGAGCUUAGGAUGUUGACAUAAUGGCUUUAAACGA
rnacentral:rRNA from 1 species